CGACGGCAGCAUGGCUUAGCUUGCUAAGUUGAUGGCGAGUGGCGAACGUGGUGAGUAACGCGUAGGAAUAUACCUUAAAGAGGGGGGCAACUUGGGGAAACUCAAGCUAAUACCGCAUAAUGUCUACGGACAAAAGCUGGGGACUUUCGGGCCUGGCGCUUUAAGAUUAGCCUGCGUACGAUUAGCUAGUUGGUGGGGUAAAGGCCUACCAAGGCGACGAUCGUUAGCUGGUCUGAGAGGAUGACCAGCCACACUGGAACUGAGACACGGUCCAGACUCCUACGGGAGGCAGCAGUGGGGAAUAUUGGACAAUGGGGGCAACCCUGAUCCAGCAAUGCCGCGUGUGUGAAGAAGGCCUGAGGGUUGUAAAGCACUUUCAGUGGGGAGGAGGAUUAAUGGGCUAAGAGCUAAUUAAUUGGACGUUACCCACAGAAGAAGCACCGGCUAACUCCGUGCCAGCAGCCGCGGCUAAUACGGAGGGUGCAACCGUUAAUCGGAAUUACUGGGCAUAAAGGGUGCGUAGGCGGUUAUGUAAGUUAUCUGUGAAAUCCCUGGGCUCAACCUGGG
rnacentral:rRNA from 1 species